ensembl:rRNA 5S_rRNA 5S ribosomal RNA
GUCUACGGCCAUACCACCCUGAAUACGCCCGAUCUCGUCUGAUCUCGGAAGCUAAGCAAGGUUGGGCCUGGUUAGCACUUGGAUAGGAGAAGUUAACA